rnacentral:rRNA from 1 species
CUACACAUGCAGUCGAACGGUAACAGGAAGCAGCUUGCUGCUUUGCUGACGAGUGGCGGACGGGUGAGUAAUGUCUGGGAAACUGCCUGAUGGAGGGGGAUAACUACUGGAAACGGUAGCUAAUACCGCAUAACGUCGCAAGACCAAAGAGGGGGACCUUCGGGCCUCUUGCCAUCAGAUGUGCCCAGAUGGGAUUAGCUUGUUGGUGGGGUAACGGCUCACCAAGGCGACGAUCCCUAGCUGGUCUGAGAGGAUGACCAGCCACACUGGAACUGAGACACGGUCCAGACUCCUACGGGAGGCAGCAGUGGGGAAUAUUGCACAAUGGGCGCAAGCCUGAUGCAGCCAUGCCGCGUGUAUGAAGAAGGCCUUCGGGUUGUAAAGUACUUUCAGCGGGGAGGAAGGUGUUGUGGUUAAUAACCGCAGCAAUUGACGUUACCCGCAGAAGAAGCACCGGCUAACUCCGUGCCAGCAGCCGCGGUAAUACGGAGGGUGCAAGCGUUAAUCGGAAUUACUGGGCGUAAAGCGCACGCAGGCGGUCUGUUAAGUCAGAUGUGAAAUCCCCGGGCUCAACCUGGGAACUGCAUCUGAUACUGGCAGGCUUGAGUCUCGUAGAGGGGGGUAGAAUUCCAGGUGUAGCGGUGAAAUGCGUAGAGAUCUGGAGGAAUACCGGUGGCGAAGGCGGCCCCCUGGACGAAGACUGACGCUCAGGUGCGAAAGCGUGGGGAGCAAACAGGAUUAGAUACCCUGGUAGUCCACGCCGUAAACGAUGUCGACUUGGAGGUUGUGCCCUUGAGGCGUGGCUUCCGGAGCUAACGCGUUAAGUCGACCGCCUGGGGAGUACGGCCGCAAGGUUAAAACUCAAAUGAAUUGACGGGGGCCCGCACAAGCGGUGGAGCAUGUGGUUUAAUUCGAUGCAACGCGAAGAACCUUACCUGGUCUUGACAUCCACGGAAGUUUUCAGAGAUGAGAAUGUGCCUUCGGGAACCGUGAGACAGGUGCUGCAUGGCUGUCGUCAGCUCGUGUUGUGAAAUGGUUGGGUUAAGUCCCGCAACGAGCGCAACCCUUAUCCUUUGUUGCCAGCGGUUAGGCCGGGAACUCAAAGGAGACUGC